UUCUUAAUCCUAAUAUUGGAAUCUAUUUUCUUCUUUAACAACAAAAUCCAAAUGUUUACUUACUAAUAAUAGUUGUAUAGAAGAUUAUUAUCCUCUAACGUUUCUUCUAACAAAGACUUUUAUCUAUUUUCGAAUCGAUUAACGAUCUAUAGCAUUUAAAAUAAUUUAUUAUUUUUUUCGGCAAUGAUGUCAUCGUGUCACGAUUACCAAAUACCCGACAUAUUUACUUCGAAAAAGCGUUUCCUUUACUCUAUAAUGGAUUGUGGCUAUAAUUGGAUACACUCAGUAUCUAGUCGAAUUUGUCUUACUGUUCCAACAAUUCCAAGAACAAUUUUAUUUUUCAAGUUUCGGAGGUUUACCAAAGAAAAUUCACCGAGUUUUAUAGGACCCUCUUUUUUUUAUUUCUUAUCCUUUUUUUUUCUUCUUGCCUUUUCGAAUUCUCUUUGUCCUUGUGUCGUACGAUGCGUACGUGCGUAUAGUUAGAGGGCGGGAGGCAAUAUUCCAGCUUCGCCAUUGCGAUCGAUAGCAUCCCCGGACCGCCAUUUUCUUGUUAUACUUGCAGAUUUUUAAGGACACACCUUUUAAUCCGGCGACAACUGCAACGUCCUUUGGCAGAGACCGAAAUCGCACGACUACUCACUGCUCCGUGUUUUGUUUUAUUCGGACAAUGAAAACGCAAGAAAAGAAAGAAAUGGCAGCAUAAAGAGCGGCGUAGGGCGACACGUGCCUUUGCGUAUUGUUUUCGGGUUGUCCUGCAGAGGAGCAGUAAUUACGACAGAGAUUCGCGAUCUCUAGAUGAAGUACGAUAAUAUGAAGAGUGUAGGUCCUUUUAUCGUAUAGGUUUUCGGUAAGAAAAAUAACGAUAAAAAUUCGAUGAUAGAUGUAAAAAAGUCUCAUUAAAAAUUUAAAACAAUUAA